GGGCAGAAAACGUAGGCUCCGGCGCUCCGCUGCGGCGCCCGCAGCAUCGAGGGAUCCCCCUUCUUCUUUCUUCCGCCCCGAGAAGGCGAGCCGCCUGUUUCCUCCGCCGGUUUGCCCUCCUCCGCCCUCUCCAUAUAAACCGCCCGUCUCAAACCUCAGGCGCAUCGCACACACCAAAACAAAAGUGAAAAACCACAUCCUCCCUCCCUCCGAGACGCCGCCCGGCCCGACCAAUGGCUCCCAGGAAGUUCUUCGUCGGCGGCAACUGGAAAUGCAACGGGACCGGCGACGACGUGAAGAAGAUCGUCACCUUCCUCAACGAGGCCGAGGUGCCCUCCGAGGACGCCGUCGAGGUGGUGGUGAGCCCGCCGUUCGUGUUCCUGCAGCAGGCAAAGGGGCUGCUGCGGCCCGACUUCGCCGUCGCCGCGCAGAACUGCUGGGUGCGCAAGGGCGGCGCCUUCACCGGCGAGAUCAGUGCUGAGAUGCUGGUGAACCUGCAGGUGCCUUGGGUCAUUUUGGGGCACUCUGAGAGGAGAGCACUGUUGAAUGAAUCAAAUGAUUUCGUUGCUGAUAAAGUGGCUUACGCACUCGCCCAAGGACUCAAGGUAAUUGCUUGCAUUGGUGAAACUCUUGAACAGAGAGAAGCAGGGACGACAAUGGAAGUUGUUUCUGCUCAGACUAAAGCUAUUGCAGAGAAAAUAUCAGACUGGACAAACUUUUUGCUGGCAUAUGAACCAGUGUGGGCCAUUGGAACCGGCAAGGUUGCUUCCCCUGCUCAAGCACAGGAGGUUCAUGAUGGUCUGAGGAAGUGGCUCCACGCUAAUGUUGGUCCUGCAGUUGCUGAAUCUACCAGGAUUAUCUAUGGAGGCUCUGUAAAUGGGGCAAACUGCAAACAGCUUGCAGCUCAACCUGAUCUUGACGGGUUCCUUGUUGGCGGCGCUUCACUCAAGCCCGAGUUUGUGGACAUCAUCAAGUCUGCCACCGUGAAGUCUUCUUCUGCUUAGUUGUUUUUGAGAUGCAUGCAGUUGCUUGUAGGAGUGGAUUCUGCUGGCCCCGCUUGGAAUCAGCUGUUAACUGGCAGGAGGGUUCGGACUAAUCAUGACCAAGCAGGACGGCCACGUCGUCAAGGAGUACUCCGUCGCCGGUUGAACGGGGAAGGGGCGGGGAGGGAUGGCAGAGGAGGAGGAGGAGGGAGGAUACCUUGGUGGAGCAGAGGAGGAUGAGCGAUUCGCCGUCACGGUCAAGUCACGGCUGCCGGCCAACGUCGCCGUCGCGGCCAGGAGCGAGUCGCCGUCACUGUCACGGCCAGGAGCGAGUCGCCGUCGUCGGCGCGCCUAACCCCCGUCGUGGCCACCGUCUUCUGCGCCUCACCACGUCGCCGUCGCGAACGCCGUUGCUUGACCACCUCGUGGACACCAGUGCCGGUGCCUCCCGGCGGCGCAACUCGAUCUAGGUCUCGAGCGAGAGGCGAGGUGGGGAAAAACGACGGCCUCUGGUCUGUAUCGGAUACCGGCCUGAUACGGGUGUAAACGAGAAAACCAGUGUAAAACUUACAGCCCAAAAACGACAUGCCAAGCACCAACGACAGGCCCAUCCGUUUUUAUUUUACGGGGGUAUAUUUUACAGGUGUAUUGGGCCCUAAAACGAGGAACCAAGCGGGGCCUUAUCUUUAUAAGACUGUUUGACCAUCUUGUUCUAAUUCGAGUGCACUGUUAUGUCGCAUUGACCAUCUUAUCUUUAGGGUGAUGCAUGCUUAUGUUUGCUUGUUUUUGUCUGGAACGAUAAUCGGAUUAGUUAUAUGUACCAA